GACGAACGCUGGCGGCGUGCCUAAUACAUGCGAGUCGAACGCUUCUUUCCUCCCGAGUGCUUGCACUCAAUUGGAAAGAGGAGUGGCGGACGGGUGAGUAACACGUGGGUAACCUACCCAUCAGAGGGGGAUGACACUUGGAAACAGGUGCUAAUACCGCAUAACAGUUUAUGCCGCAUGGCAUAAGAGUGAAAGGCGCUUUCGGGUGUCGCUGAUGGAUGGACCCGCGGUGCAUUAGCUAGUUGGUGAGGUAACGGCUCACCAAGGCCACGAUGCAUAGCCGACCUGAGAGGGUGAUCGGCCACACUGGGACUGAGACACGGCCCAGACUCCUACGGGAGGCAGCAGUAGGGAAUCUUCGGCAAUGGACGAAAGUCUGACCGAGCAACGCCGCGUGAGUGAAGAAGGUUUUCGGAUCGUAAAACUCUGUUGUUAGAGAAGAACAAGGACGUUAGUAACUGAACGUCCCCUGACGGUAUCUAACCAGAAAGCCACAGCUAACUACGUG
rnacentral:rRNA from 1 species